rnacentral:rRNA from 1 species
GACGUAGGGCGCGAGCGUUGUCCGGAUUUAUUGGGCGUAAAGAGCGUGUAGGCGGCCAGGUAGGUCUGCUGUGAAAACUCGAGGCUCAACCUCGAGACGUCGGCGGAAACCAUCUGGCUAGAGUCCGGAAGAGGAGAGUGGAAUUCCUGGUGUAGCGGUGAAAUGCGCAGAUAUCAGGAAGAACACCCGUGGCGAAGGCGGCUCUCUGGAACGCAACUGACGCUGAGGCGCGACAGCGUGGGGAGCAAACAGG